GACGAACGCUGGCGGCGUGCCUAAUACAUGCAAGUCGAGCGCAGGAAACCAUCAGAACCUUUCGGGGGGACGACGGUGGAAUGAGCGACGGACGGGUGAGUAACACGUAAAGAACCUGCCCAUAGGUCUGGGAUAACCACGAGAAAUCGGGGCUAAUACCGGAUGUGUCAUCGGACCGCAUGGUCCGCUGAUGAAAGGCGCUCCGGCGUCGCCUAUGUAUGGCUUUGCGGGGCAUUAGCUAGUUGGUGGGGUAACGGCCCACCAAGGCGACGAGGCAUAGCCGACCUGAGAGGGUGAUCGGCCACACUGGGACUGAGACACGGCCCAGACUCCUACGGGAGGCAGCAGUAGGGAAUCUUCCACAAUGGACGAAAGUCUGAUGGAGCAACGCCGCGUGAACGAUGAAGGCUUUCGGGUCGUAAAGUUCUGUUGUAAGGGAAGAACAAGUGCCGCAGGCAAUGGCGGCACCUUGACGGUACCUUGCGAGAAAGCCACGGCUAACUACGUGCCAGCAGCCGCCGUAAUAC
rnacentral:rRNA from 1 species